UGACAGCGUAUGAAAGUACGUUUUUCACCUUUGGGUGAACAGGGAGACAGGUGGUGCAUGGUUGUCGUCAGCUCGUGUCGUGAGAUGUUGGGUUAAGUCCCGCAACGAGCGCAACCCCUACGUUUAGUUGCCAUCGGGUGGAGCCGGGCACUCUGGACGAACUGCCGUUGACAAAACGGAGGAAGUGGGGAUGACGUCAAAUCAUCAUGCCCCUUAUGUCCUGGGCCACACACGUGCUACAAUGGCCGGUACAGAGGGAAGCGAAGCCGUGAGGUGGAGCAAAUCCCAAAAAGCCGGUCUCAGUUCGGAUUGCAGGCUGCAACCCGCCUGCAUGAAGUCGGAAUCGCUAGUAAUCGCAGGUCAGCAUACUGCGGUGAAUACGUUCCCGGGCCUU
rnacentral:rRNA from 1 species